AUCUUGAAAACGGAAAAUAAAAACAGCAGACCUAUGAAGGUCGAAGGGGAAGAAAAGCUGUAUCGAUUGUUGAGAUCUGGCGACUUGUUUAAAUUUCAUCAGCCUCACUUCUAUGAACUCUCAGAGCUGAUUACCAACUCCUACCACUGUUAACCCUCAUCCAGGAACAAGCUUAUGUCUUUAACAUUCUGAGUGGGCUUCAGCAUCCUUGCAUAUGUUCAAUUCUUAAAAACCUGUUGAAAUAAAAGAUCAGGAGACAUAGGAAGGAUGCCAGAAGAGAGCGUGGCCUCACGUGUACCAGCUCUCUGCUCUCCUUUGCCUUGGGACGUUCCAUCCCUGGAAGUUUCCCUGCCCACAUCUUUGUAGAGAGUCCAUUCUCCAAGCUUCAGUGUGUCAUCUGUGAGGACCGUGACCCACCUGGUACAUCGCCUCAGGGCAUUCAUUUCAGGCUCCUUCUAAAUGGCCAAGUUUUCAAGAUUGUUUUGGCUCUAGCAAAACAAGUUGGAACAUUCACAUCAUCCAAGCUGCAGCAAGCUGUUCGUCAGAGUCAUCUUUGGUGACUAUCUGCCUACAGGCAUUCCUUUGCACUCUGGGUGUAGCCCUCAGUGCUGGGCUUACAAAGAAGACGACACAAAAGCAACCAUGAAAAGAUCUUGGAAGCAGAGGGAUCUGCAGAAGUGCUUGCAACACUUUCAGCCUUAACCAGCAUCAGAGACAAAAAUCCUUUCUGGAAUGAGGCACCCUUGGAAAUGCAAUGCUACAUCUCAAUGGGAUUUUCCAGUACAAAGAUUCUUUUCAAAUAACAUAAUUGUGGAUACACACCACUCCUACAGUGGUAAACCUCAGGUUCUCCUCCUGCCUUUUGCUAAGUAUAUGUCUUGAUGACAAGCCUUCUGCUGAUGAGCUGUGUUUCUGGACCGAUCAUGGUAGAAGUCAAUUAACGUGUCCCUCACUUGGGGUUUCUCAAGGCUGCACUGAUGAGGAAACUGAAACAGAAAAUCCAGAGUAAAUUCCACCAGGCCACACAGCAAGGUCUGAUAGAGCCAGGAGAGACUUUAUGAAAUCCAGACUCUCACACUAAUGCUCUAUCAGCUAGACCUCCAUGUGAGUCUCCCCAAUGUAGGUAGGAAGUGCUUUCCCUAAAAUGCUCAUAAAGCAAAUCAGAGCAAUGCUGCAUUCCAUGUGAUUUCUAAUUUGAAAUGCAAACAAUUGCCAAUUUGUUUGACUUGUAUUUAUAAUUAUUUCCUUGUGAAUUACUCAUCACUAAAUGCUUUAUAAAUAUUUUCUCUUUUUUUCCUCAAUGUCUAUGGAAUGAUCACAGCAUAGAAAAUGUUGGCUUUCAAGGAUUUAUUAAUAUCUCCUUUUGAAAUAACAUGUAUUUGUAAGACAGAAUAAAAUCACUUUAAAGAAACAAA
rnacentral:lncRNA from 1 species